AACCUAGCACACCUGCGGUGUGUACCUGCGGAGGGAUCAUUACAGAGAUUGAUGCACCAAGUGCAUCACCUCCAACCCCUUGCGAAAACAACUAUCAUGUGUUGCUUUGGCAGUGUUUCCACUGCCAGAGGUUUACAUAAAAUCAGCUGUUUGGAUGUUGUCUGAGUAAACUAUAUGAAUUAUUUAAAACUUUCAGCAAUGGAUCU
rnacentral:misc_RNA from 1 species